rnacentral:rRNA from 1 species
GACGAACGCUGGCGGCGUGCUUAACACAUGCAAGUCGAACGGGAUUUAGUAAACAGAAGCCUCGGUGGAAGAUUACUAAUGAGAGUGGCGAACGGGUGAGUAACGCGUGAGCAACCUGCCUAUGACAGUGGGAUAGCCUCGGGAAACCGGGAUUAAUACCGCAUAAAAUCGUAGAAACACAUGUUUCAACGGUCAAAGAUUUAUCGGUCAUAGAUGGGCUCGCGUCCGAUUAGCUAGUUGGUGAGGUAAAGGCCCACCAAGGCGACGAUCGGUAGCCGGCCUGAGAGGGUGAACGGUCACAUUGGGACUGAGACACGGCCCAAACUCCUACGGGAGGCAGCAGUGGGGAAUAUUGGACAAUGGGGGAAACCCUGAUCCAGCGACGCCGCGUGAGUGAAGAAGUAUUUCGGUGUGUAAAGCUCUAUCAGCAGGGAAGAAAAUGACGGUACCUGACUAAGAAGCCCCGGCUAACUACGUGCCAGCAGCCGCGGUAAUACGUAGGGGGCAAGCGUUAUCCGGAUUUACUGGGUGUAAAGGGAGCGCAGACGGCAAUGCAAGUCUGAAGUGAAAGGCGUGGGCUCAACCCAUGAACUGCUUUGGAAGCUGUAUAGCUUGAGUGUCGGAGGGGUAAGCGGAAUUCCUAGUGUAGCGGUGAAAUGCGUAGAUAUUAGGAGGAACACCGGAGGCGAAGGCGGCUUACUGGACGACAACUGACGUUGAGGCUCGAAGGCGUGGGGAGCAAACAGG